AUGCUUAUAUAUUGGCCAAAAACUGAUUGUGACAUUUGGGUGGACUUGGACAAGCUUCCAAUUAUUCCUCCAUGUUAUUUCUUAGUGCCAAGAGAAACUCAGAGGAUGGUAGAUCACAUGUAUUAUACUACUGGCACCACAAUUACAUGGGAAGAGAUGGAGGAGGUCAUAAGAUUUCUGGAUGUCAUCGAGGACGGCGUGAGGCAUUACCAUUCCGGAACCACCAUUGGACCAUAUGUGCCACUAGCGCACAUCUUGAACAUGAGAAACAUUAAUAAGAAGUACCUGAAAAUCCCAAGACCAUGUGUGCCUCCGCAAAUGCCUGCUAAUGGUGACAUGCAAAUCAUUGUCCAUGACAAAACAAACUUCACAGGCACCUACUCGACUUCAGCAGAUGAUGGAUGCGUCUUCAUCAAUGGGUGGAAGCAUCUACUUGAGACCUACCAUAUAGAAAUCGGGGAUAGGUUGAUCGCAGUGCUACACCAUGGACCUCGAGGACCUUUCCUCUUUCUCACCUCCAUAUUUGAUGGUGUUUUAGAGUAUCAUAAAACAUGA
rnacentral:rRNA from 1 species